CUGAUAAUUGGGCCCGCCAUCUUCCUUCAAUAUUCCUGUCCCUCAGUUGAAAAACUUGACAUCCUUGAUCUAGAUUGAUACUCCAGACGUUACGACAGAUAAGUGUAUCUCAUCUCACGUUCCGAAAUGGUGCUACGGUUCUGUUUCCGCAUCUCCAGAGGUCUGCCCCCACUUGGACGACAUUAACUGGGUGUCAGCAUUACGCUGGGCUGCUUGUGCCGAGGUGGCCUAAAGCCAGACUGUGGAGCUGUGUCCUGGAAUUUGACGACAGGAAACAAAACUAUCGACAGUAUCGUGUGUGUGUCCCAUGAAAUGCAAGGAGCCAAGAUGGAAGGGCGCAAGGUUGAGGUCGCACCCCACAAACCGAGCGAGCAUCAUCAUUAAAAGUGUUUGCGGCAGGGUCAAAGGUUAAAGGCAGGCAAGUGGUGACCUCACAGAAGAAGGCCACAGUGACAUCUGACCCUUAACCGGGUGUGCUGCUCAACCCCGGAGGAUACAACUCAACAAUGGCCAGGCACGUGCCUUGGCCUGGUCACCAUGGUAACAAAGGACCUUUU